rnacentral:lncRNA from 1 species
GAGUCCAAGGAGAAGGAAGGAAGACCAUGCCUCUGCCAAAACGUGGGAAGACCUUAUUGUGUCAACCUCACUCCCAUCAACUCACAACAUUAGGUGGUGGGGUUAGGUGAACCAUAUCCUCACAAGCGGUUUCUUGCAUUUCCUUCAAGGUGUUCGACAAUAGUUCCCACUGGCGGAAUUCUUUCAAGUACUUGUCUUUGAGUUUGAGGAGAGCCCUUUUCUUCCUCCGGCGACGAUGCUUCUCUUCCACCGCCGGAUCUGGCGGAUGCGGAGGUGCGGUGGAGGAGGUGGAGUUGAGGCGGGGCCGCUUCUUGCGCUUGUAUACAAAGCCGUCGUCAUUUAUUAGUUCCCAUUCCACAUCGUCUUCCCGUUGUGCUGUAGACAUGGAAUCGAAUUCUCAAUCCGAGCGCGAGAAAUCAAGAUUUGGAACAAACUAAAAGAGGGAUUCAACGAAAAUUUGAAUCGAAAUGAAAAGAACGGGAAUCCAAUUCUGAGUUCGGGUGGAUCUUUGUCGGGUCUGAAGAGACCGUCAGAAAUCAAUUUGAAAUUUUUGGAGAAGAUAAAAAAAUUUCUAUCAUGCUACGGAGUUGAAUCCAAGCUCGAAUUUGGAUGGGACACAUAUGACGCAUGCAUGAUUGGAAGGGGCGAAUGUAAGCAUUUUAUAUUGAG